rnacentral:rRNA from 1 species
GACGAACGCUGGCGGCGUGCUUAACACAUGCAAGUCGAACGGAAAGGCCCUGCUUUUGUGGGGUGCUCGAGUGGCGAACGGGUGAGUAACACGUGAGUAACCUGCCCUUGACUUUGGGAUAACUUCGGGAAACUGGGGCUAAUACCGGAUAGGAGCUCCUGCUGCAUGGUGGGGGUUGGAAAGUUUCGGCGGUUGGGGAUGGACUCGCGGCUUAUCAGCUUGUUAGUGGGGUAGUGGCUUACCAAGGCUUUGACGGGUAGCCGGCCUGAGAGGGUGACCGGCCACAUUGGGACUGAGAUACGGCCCAGACUCCUACGGGAGGCAGCAGUGGGGAAUAUUGCACAAUGGGCGGAAGCCUGAUGCAGCAACGCCGCGUGCGGGAUGACGGCCUUCGGGUUGUAAACCGCUUUCGCCUGUGACGAAGCGUGAGUGACGGUAACGGGUAAAGAAGCACCGGCUAACUACGUG